UCAGCUCAGUGUAUAAAACCUGUCCGGCCCAGUGUUUUGAGAACAGUCAAGUUUAAAUAAAAAUACGAGCAUAUUAUUUUAAAAAGAGCUCCUGCUCUCGGGAGUGUGGAGUUUGGUUUCAGGAAACGAGAACACAAAGGCAGGAAGCAGGUCCACGGUGGGAAUGUGCACUUGCUCCAGGACAGUCAUCCCUGACCGCUCCUGCGGGAGGGCCUGGGGGGUCGGGUACCGCUGGACACAGGCUGCAGAACACCAGGCCCCCUUCUGAGUGCCCCCCAUAACGAAGGGCUAAAGGCUGCAGCACAGGCCAGGUGCCCUAAAAUUGCAGGAGACGCAGCUAAUGGAGGCUACUUGUGGGAGCAGAAGUGAACACCCUGCCUCGGCUUGCACACCACCUCUCCCCACCGUCCCCUACCGCCCACGCUGGGCUCCGCCGACAGUCGCCCUGUCCCAGCCCACCCUGCAGGCCUCCGAGGCUCCCUGAGUCCUCCCUCCGACGCAGAUUCGUCCCUGGGGCCAAGAGGCCAGUCUGAAGAGGGAAAGGAGAAGGGGAGAGUGAUCCUCCUGUGGUGGCCAAGGAAGAUCUUCUGACAGAGGCCAGAGUACAGAGCAGGACAACGUGAGCGCUGCUUACCCUGCCACCUGCCCUCUACGCUGAAGCCACGCAGCAGGCAGGCUAGAAGGUGCCUUCGAAGUCAUAAACGGACAUUCUCAGAUCAAGAAAGAAGGCGAAAGGCAUUUAGAGGAAAAAACCUCAAGCGUGGUGGCAGGCAGACGUGUGCUGAGUCCUGCAUGGCCUAAGAGAGA